AGCGAACGCUGGCGGCAGGCCUAACACAUGCAAGUCGAACGAACUCUUCGGAGUUAGUGGCGGACGGGUGAGUAACACGUGGGAACGUGCCUUUUGGUUCGGAAUAACUCAGGGAAACUUGUGCUAAUACCGAAUGCGCCCUUCGGGGGAAAGAUUUAUCGCCAUUAGAGCGGCCCGCGUCUGAUUAGCUAGUUGGUGAGGUAACGGCUCACCAAGGCGACGAUCAGUAGCUGGUCUGAGAGGAUGACCAGCCACACUGGGACUGAGACACGGCCCAGACUCCUACGGGAGGCAGCAGUGGGGAAUCUUGCGCAAUGGGCGAAAGCCUGACGCAGCCAUGCCGCGUGAAUGAUGAAGGUCUUAGGAUUGUAAAAUUCUUUCACCGGGGACGAUAAUGACGGUACCCGGAGAAGAAGCCCCGGCUAACUUCGU
rnacentral:rRNA from 1 species